UACGAUGACACCAGCGAUUAGUCGGUGUUAAUAUACGACCCGACUAGCAGCUUCCGGGAAACCAAAGUUUUUCGUUUCCGGGGGAAGUAUGGUUGCAAAGCUGAAACUUAAAGGAAUUGACGGAAGGGCACCACCAGGAGUGGAGCCUGCGGCUUAAUUUGACUCAACACGGGAAAACUCACCCGGCCCGGACACCGUAAGGAUUGACAGACUGAGAGCUCUUUCUUAAUUCGGUGGGUGGUGGUGCAUGGCCGUUCUUAGUUGGUGGAGCGAUUUGUCUGGUUAAUUCCGAUAACGAACGAGACUCUGGCCUAUUAAAUAGUCGGUAUAUCCAGAAAAGUUUACCGUACUUCUUAGAGGGACAAACGGCGUCUAGCCGCGUGAAAUAGAGCAAUAACAGGUCUGUGAUGCCCUUAGAUGUCCGGGGCUGCACGCGCGCUACACUGAAAGAAUCAGUAUGCGCUUUAACCUAGUCCGGAAGGAUUGGGUAACCCGAGCAAAUUCUUUCGUGCUUGGGAUAGGGAAUUGCAAUUAUUUCCCUUAAACGAGGAAUUCCCAGUAAAUGCGGGUCAUAAGCUCGCGUUGAUUACGUCCCUGCCCUUUGUACACACCGCCCGUCGCUACUACCGAUUGAAUGUUUUAGUGAGGUUUUCGGACUGGCCGGCGCAGCUGCUCUCGUAGUGGCAACGCUGUGUUUGGGAAGAUACCCAAACUUGAACAUUUAGAGGAAGUAAAAGUCGUAACAAGGUUUCCGUAGUGACCUGCGGAAGAUC
rnacentral:rRNA from 1 species